GACGAACGCUGGCGGCGUGCCUAAUACAUGCAAGUUGAGCGCUGAAGGUUGGUACUUGUACCAACUGGAUGAGCAGCGAACGGGUGAGUAACGCGUGGGGAAUCUGCCUUUGAGCGGGGGACAACAUUUGGAAACGAAUGCUAAUACCGCAUAAAAACUUUAAACACAAGUUUUAAGUUUGAAAGAUGCAAUUGCAUCACUCAAAGAUGAUCCCGCGUUGUAUUAGCUAGUUGGCGAGGUAAAGGCUCACCAAGGCGAUGAUACAUAGCCGACCUGAGAGGGUGAUCGGCCACAUUGGGACUGAGACACGGCCCAAACUCCUACGGGAGGCAGCAGUAGGGAAUCUUCGGCAAUGGACGAAAGUCUGACCGAGCAACGCCGCGUGAGUGAAGAAGGUUUUCGGAUCGUAAAACUCUGUUGGUAGAGAAGAACGUUGGUGAGAGUGGAAAGCUCAUCAAGUGACGGUAACUACCCAGAAAGGGACGGCUAACCACGUG
rnacentral:rRNA from 1 species